CAAUAGCGUAUAUUUAAGUUGUUGCAGUUAAAAAGCUCGUAGUUGGAUUUCGGAUGGGACUUGCCGGUCCGUCGUUUCGAUGUGCACUGGCCAGUCCUAUCUUGUUGUCGGGGACUAGCUCCUGGGCUUCACUGUCCGGGACUAGGAGCUGACGAGGUUACUUUGAGUAAAUUAGAGUGUUCAAAGCAAGCCUACGCUCUGAAUACAUUAGCAUGGAAUAACACGAUAGGACUCUGGCUUAUCUUGUUGGUCUGUGAGACCAGAGUAAUGAUUAAGAGGGACAGUCGGGGGCAUUCGUAUUUCAUUGUCAGAGGUGAAACUCUUGGAUUUAUGAAAGACGAACUUCUGCGAAAGCAUUUGUCAAGGAUGUUUUCAUUAA
rnacentral:rRNA from 1 species